rnacentral:rRNA from 1 species
AUUGAACGCUGGCGGCAGGCCUAACACAUGCAAGUCGAGCGAGCGGCGGACGGGUGAGUAAUGUCUGGGAAACUGCCUGAUGGAGGGGGAUAACUACUGGAAACGGUAGCUAAUACCGCAUAACAUCAGAUGUGCCCAGAUGGGAUUAGCUAGUAGGUGGGGUAACGCCUACCCUAGGCGACGAUCCCGAGCUGGGCUGAGAGGAAGACCAGCCACGAUGGAACUGAGACACGGUCCAUACUCCUACGGGAGGCAGCAGUGGGGAAUAUUGCACAAUGGGCGCAAGCCUGAUGCAGCCAUGCCGCGUGUGUGAAGAAGGCUUUCGGGUUGUAAAGCACUUUCAGCGGGUAGGCGUUACCCGCAGAAUAAGCACCGGCUAACUCCGUGCCAGCAGCCGCGGUAAUAC